rnacentral:rRNA from 1 species
UACGUAGGCAGCAAGCGUUGUUCGGAGUUACUGGGCGUAAAGGGUGCGUAGGCGGCUCUAUAAGUAUGGUGUGAAAUCUCCCGGCUUGACUGGGAGGGUGCGCUAUAGACUGUGGGGCUAGAGUGUGGGAGAGGAAAGUGGAAUUCCUGGUGUAGCGGUGAAAUGCGUAGAUAUCAGGAGGAACACCGAUGGCGAAGGCAGG